UACAGAGGUCUCAAGCGUUGUUCGGAUUCAUUGGGCGUAAAGGGUGCGUAGGCGGCGCGGUAAGUCGGGUGUGAAAUCUCGGAGCUUAACUCCGAAACUGCAUUCGAUACUGCCGUGCUUGAGGACUGGAGAGGAGACUGGAAUUUACGGUGUAGCGGUGAAAUGCGUAGAUAUCGUAAGGAAGACCAGUGGCGAAGGCGGGUCUCUGGGCCGAUACUGACGCUGAGGGGCGAAAGCGUGGGGAGCAAACAGG
rnacentral:rRNA from 1 species